UAUUUUGCCCCCACCACUUAGCAUUAACAGAAUUUAGGUUUUAGCCAUUUUGUAUAUUUAUAUGAUCCAUUUUAUUUACAUCGAUUGAGGUAGUUGAAUAUUCUGUUUGAGGUAUAUCAUUUAUGCCUGACAGAGAUUAAAACUGUUUAGUGGCUUUCAUUACUUUUAGGAAAAAAGACCCAAAUGUUUAGCUCUGCAUCACCUGGCUCCUGCCUGCCUCUUCAUUUUCGUCUCUUACUGCUCCUCCCUCUCAGUUUCUGCAUUCCAGAUUUGCUGGCCUUUUGGGUCCUCCAGCUCCUUGUUCCAUCUGUCACAAGACUUUGCAAUUUUGUUACCUUGUCCACACUGUUCUACUCCCACCCCAGCCUCACAACCAAGCUCACACCUAGUUAAUGCCCACUCAUCUUUGACACGUAAAAAAAAUUUUUUUUAUUUUAAUGUUUAUUUAUUUUUGAGAGACAGAGAGAUACAGAGUGUGAGCAGGGAGGGGCAGAGAGAGAAGGAGACACAGAAUCUGAAGCAGGCUCCAGGCUCUGAGCUGUUGGCACAGAGCCCAAUGCAGGGCUUGAAGUCACAAACUGUGAAAUCAUGACCUGAGCUGAAGUCAGACGCUUAACAGAUUGAGCCACCGAGGCGCCCCUUGUCUCUGACACUUCUGUGGGGAAACUUUCCCUGCCUCUACCCCCACCCCACCCCCACCCUCACUCUGCUGGGCAAGCCUCCCUUCUUGGUAAGAUCUCAUAGCAUUCUGCACUUUUAAUUUUCCUUCAGAACACUUACCAUAGUUUUAAAGUAUAUAUUUGGAUGAUUAUUCACUUCCCAACUAGACUGUAAGUAUCUUGGAAGCAAGAACGAUGUCUAUUUCACCCAUUACUUUGUUCCUGCCACAGUGCUUGGUGCAUUUAGACUCCUAUUUUUGGGGGGAGCCUGGGUGGUUCAGUUGGUUAAGCAUCCAACUUUGGCUCAGGUCAUGAUCUCACAGUCUGUGAGUUCAAGCCCCGCGAUGGGCUCUGUGCUGACAGCUUAGAGCCUGGAGCCUGCUUCGGAUUCUGUGUCUCCCUUUCUGCUCCUCCCUUGCUCACGCUCUGUCUCUCAAAAUUAAACGUUAAAAAAAUUUUUUUUAAUUAAAAAAAUUUAGACUCAGAUAUUUUUUGAAUAGUGAAGAGACUAGUCUGAAGGAUGAGGGAUCUUAUUUUAAAUUAAAAUAUAGAAAUCAGUAAAACACCUGGUAACUAAUGGAGUAUGGGGAUGUAGUGGGUACUGUGGUGUGAUGCCCAGUUUUCCUCUUGUAGACUACUCAUCCCUCCAGAUGCUGAGAGUUUUUUAAAAAAUGUUUACUUUUGAGAGAGAGAAAGCACACCCAUGUGCAUGUGAGUGAGGGAGGGUCUGAGAGAGGGAGAGAGACAGAAUCCCAAGCAGGCUCCGUGCUGUCAGUGCAGAGCCCGACGCGGGGCUCAAUCCCAUGAAUGGUGAGAUCAUGACUUGAACCAAAACCAAGAGCCAAACGCUUAAGACUGAACCACCCAGGUGCCCCACAUGCUAGGAGUUUUGAUGGCCAAUGCUUCUCAUCCUAGACCCUCUAUAGGAAUUGCCCACAGGAAAGAGAGCCACCUUACCUAAGGUCACACCCCUUUCUGAAAGCAGGUCACUUGCAGUGACAGGUUAAUUGGGGGGCAUAUGCUCCACUCACUGCCUCAGUGAAGGGCCAUUCCAGGUCGUGGUAGGAUUGACUGAGGUCACUGUUUGAACUGCAUCAACUGUUCAACCCCCUCCCACGUCACCUUUCCUCCCUCAGGCCUCACAAGCUGUUCCUGAGAGCUUGUCUCCUCCCUCUCCCCCCAAUAAACCACCUGCACACAAGUCUCAAGAGUCUGUUUCCCAGGGAACAGACUGAGAACUGUGGGCGAGGGAGAGGGAGGAUCCUAAGGUAGCUCCUCAAUUUCUGUUUUGAGACAGCACAUGAUGCCAUCCACUGAGAUGAGCACAGGAAGGUGAUAAUGUACAGGAACUGAAGCAGGUUUGCUGGAAAAGAUGGGAGUCAGACGGCAGUCCACUGUGGCUCCUCACUGCAGGCUUGCUGGCGGAUCCUGGGGUGGUCUAACCUUGAAGUUAGAGGCAGGCCUCUCAUACCCACCACCUUUGGUUGGAAGAUCAGCAGCGUUCUCCGAAGACAUCCUCCAACUCCUCUUCCAAACUGUAUCCUUACCCUUUUAUAUCUUCUUUAUGGGCAUGAUGAUGGAUUCAAGGUUUUUAGCCAAGUCCUCCUUUGCAAACUCAACCACCAGGAUGAUCUGUUUCACUACUGAUUCGUGCCUCCAGAGAUUUUUAUAUAUUGAUUAAUGCCACCAAAACAAGAGUUUUGUUUUGAUGAGACAGCAUUAUCACACUCCGUCUGCAGAAGCAAGGAAAACUUUCAUGGAAUAAAGGAGCUUGUUCAACUCUAUCUCAGAAACCAAGCCUAGAUUCAGACUUGUCCAAAUCUUAGUUCCACUGAACAAGCAGAGCUCAAUUCUUUCUUUUUUUUUUCUCCCAAGUUUUAAUUUAAAUUCUGGUUAACAUACAGCAUAACACUCGUUUUAGUUUCAUGUGUAGAAUUUAGUGAUUCGUUAUCACUUAAAUACAACACCCCGUGCUGAUCACAACAAGGGCCCUCCUUAAUAGCAGAGCUCAAUUCUAAACAGUUCUUUUUUUGGCGCACUUGCUGUGGAUGCCUUUAUAUUGAGAGAGCUGAAAUCAAAGAAGUGCUAGCAGAGGGACACUGUGUUCUUUCCCCACAGAGCAUCUCAGCCGUGUCCUAUAUCUUUUUCAGCCACUCUCAGAUAAUAAAAAGUCCUUGAAUCA